rnacentral:rRNA from 1 species
GAACUGAAGAGUUUGAUCCUGGCUCAGAUUGAACGCUGGCGGCAUGCUUUACACAUGCAAGUCGAACGGCAGCGCGGGGCAACCUGGCGGCGAGUGGCGAACGGGUGAGUAAUAUAUCGGAACGUACCCAAGAGUGGGGGAUAACGUAGCGAAAGUUACGCUAAUACCGCAUACGAUCUAAGGAUGAAAGCAGGGGAUCUUCGGACCUUGUGCUCCUGGAGCGGCCGAUAUCUGAUUAGCUAGUUGGUGAGGUAAAGGCUCACCAAGGCCACGAUCAGUAGCUGGUCUGAGAGGACGACCAGCCACACUGGAACUGAGACACGGUCCAGACUCCUACGGGAGGCAGCAGUGGGGAAUUUUGGACAAUGGGCGAAAGCCUGAUCCAGCAAUGCCGCGUGAGUGAAGAAGGCCUUCGGGUUGUAAAGCUCUUUUGUCAGGGAAGAAACGGUGAGGGCUAAUAUCCUUCGCUAAUGACGGUACCUGAAGAAUAAGCACCGGCUAACUACGUGCCAGCAGCCGCGGUAAUACGUAGGGUGCAAGCGUUAAUCGGAAUUACUGGGCGUAAAGCGUGCGCAGGCGGUUUUGUAAGUCUGACGUGAAAUCCCCGGGCUCAACCUGGGAAUUGCGUUGGAGACUGCAAGGCUAGAAUCUGGCAGAGGGGGGUAGAAUUCCACGUGUAGCAGUGAAAUGCGUAGAGAUGUGGAGGAACACCGAUGGCGAAGGCAGCCCCCUGGGUCAAGAUUGACGCUCAUGCACGAAAGCGUGGGGAGCAAACAGGAUUAGAUACCCUGGUAGUCCACGCCCUAAACGAUGUCUACUAGUUGUCGGGUUUUAAUUAACUUGGUAACGCAGCUAACGCGUGAAGUAGACCGCCUGGGGAGUACGGUCGCAAGAUUAAAAC